rnacentral:rRNA from 1 species
CGAACGCAGUCGACCUUCGGGUCACAUGACUGAGUGGCGAACGGGUGAGUAACACGUGAGAAACCUGCCUCGAAGACUGGAAUAACCCGGGGAAACCCGGGCUAAUACCGGAUAUCCCCAGUUGGCCGCAUGGCCGACUGAGGAAAUGCUCCGGCGCUUCGAGAGGGUCUCACGGCCUAUCAGCUAGUGGGUGAGGUAACGGCUCACCAAGGCAUCGACGGGUAGCUGGUCUGAGAGGACGAUCAGCCACACUGGGACUGAGAUACGGCCCAGACUCCUACGGGAGGCAGCAGUAGGGAAUCUUGCGCAAUGGGCGAAAGCCUGACGCAGCCACGCCGCGUGAGUGAUGAAGGCCUUCGGGUCGUAAAGCUCUUUCAGCAGGGACGAAAAUGACAGUACCUGCAGAAGAAGCCCCGGCCAACUACGUGCCAGCAGCCGCGGUAACACGUAGGGGGCAAGCGUUGUCCGGAUUUAUUGGGCGUAAAGGGCUCGUAGGCUGUUCAGUAAGUCAGGUGUGAAAACUCGAGGCUCAACCUCGAGACGCCACUUGAUACUGCUGUGACUUGAGUUCGGUAGAGGAGUGUGGAAUUCCUAGUGUAGCGGUGAAAUGCGCAGAUAUUAGGAGGAACACCAACGGCGAAGGCAGCACUCUGGGCCGAUACUGACGCUGAGGAGCGAAAGCGUGGGGAGCAAACAGGAUUAGAUACCCUGG